ACACAAUAAUGUUAUUAUAACUCUAUUCAAUUACAGUCCUAUUCCAUUAGAGUGAAUCAAAAGUACCCUAAUUCCCUUAGCUAUCACCACCUCCACAACACUAAGAUAAACCACUUUUUUACCCUAAGUGCCGCUCACCACCUCCAUGGCUCCACCAGUGACCUCUAGCGUUGCUGCCUGUCUGUCCGUCUACUCGUCCCGCUCUAGCCCAUCAACGUUGCUUUUUCUGUCCUACUUCUUGCUUCUUCCUGUCAUUGCUUCCUGCUUCUUCUUGCUUCCUUUGUCACCACUGAUGCUUCCUUUGUCACCUUAUCUGCUCUAGCCUUCAGUCAUCGCCGUCAUCGUCCCACUAGUUUGCUCGCCCUGUCCGGUUUCCCAAUUGUCUGUUCGAGCCGGGUUGAUCGAGUCGGACGGUGGGAAGUUCGUGGACCUCCACGUGGCGAAGCCAGAGCGGAGGUUGAAGAAGCGAGAAGCGGCUCUGUUGCCCAGGGUGAAGCUGAGCAGGAUCGACUUGCAAUGGGUCCAUGUUUUGAGUGAGGGCUGGGUAAGCCCCCUCACCGGGUUCAUGAGAGAAUUCGAGCUCCUCCAAACUCUUCAUUUUAACUCGCUCUGACUCAGCAAUGAUUCUUUCGUCAACAUUUCGAUGCCGAUUGUGUUGGCGAUUGAUGAUUCUCAAAAGAAGAGGAUUGCUAAGUCCAACAGAGUCACGCUCGUUGACUCGGAUGAUAACCCCGUAGCGAUCCUCAACAAAUAAGUCAAUGAAGUCCUAAUAUAGAAAUAAUGUAAUGGUAACUGUGCUUUUCUUCAACUUUCUUCACAUUUUUCUUUGUUGUUUAAUUGGAUAUAUAUAUACACUUUUUUUCAUAGUUUCAUGUGAUUAUUUUUGGGGUUUUUUUUUAAAAAAUUUUGUGGUUGGAAUUUUCAAUAUAGUAAAGAUUUUUGAAAUUGAUUCUUUUAAUGUUUAGCUUAAAGUUCUUAAAUUUUUUACUUUUUUUAUUAUGAUUUUUUCAAAUUUGAUAUAUUGCUCAUUUGCUAUGAUUUCAUGUUUUAUAUAGAAAUUAUAGAUCCCUUUGAUUUGAUUUUAUAUGAACCAGUAUUCUAGAUUUAGAAAGCUCCCCUGCCUUUUGAUGAUAUUUAAUAAAAUUGGGGAUGGGGGAAUACGAGUGAAGAAGAGGCGGCUCAGCGCUGGCCUCCAACCGUUUGUAACCCUCAUGAUACGAUCCUCGACGAAUGCGGCAUUUUCCUUGGUCCAUGAUCCCAGUGAAAGUUGUUCGAUUAAAGCUUGUCUGAAUGUAGGUCAUCAGCGUAAUGUUUUUGGUUGUUUGAUUGUAGGACACAAACGAGACUAUCGUGUAUCAUAGGUGUCUGGUUGGAUUCGAUAACUAUGCGGCCUUAUUGUUUGUUUCCUUAAUGUAUUUAGUGUAUUUAAUAUAUUUAAAAUUUAUUUUAUGUAAUAAAAUAUUUUUUAAAAUAAAAAAAUGA